GGAAGCUUAGCUCAGCUGGUUAGAGCAAUCGGCUCAUAACCGAUCGGUCCCGGGUUCGAGUCCCCGAGCUUCCA
rnacentral:tRNA from 1 species